GACGAACGCUGGCGGCGUGCUUAACACAUGCAAGUCGAACGAUGAAGCCGGAGCUUGCUCUGGUGAAUUAGUGGCGAACAGGUGAGUAACACGUGAGUAACCUGCCCUUGACUCUGGGAUAACUGCGGGAAACUGUAGCUAAUACCGGAUACGACCCUCGGAGGCAUCUCCAGGGGGUGGAAAGAAUUUCGGUCAAGGAUGGACUCGCGGCCUAUCAGCUAGUUGGUGAGGUAACGGCUCACCAAGGCGACGACGGGUAGCCGGCCUGAGAGGGGGACCGGCCACACUGGGACUGAGACACGGCCCAGACUCCUACGGGAGGCAGCAGUGGGGAAUAUUGCACAAUGGGCGCAAGCCUGAUGCAGCAACGCCGCGUGAGGGAUGACGGCCUUCGGGUUGUAAACCUCUUUUAGUAGGGAAGAAGCGAAAGUGACGGUACCUGCAGAAAAAGCACCGGCUAACUACGUGCCAGCCGCCGCCGUAA
rnacentral:rRNA from 1 species